UGACGUUACUCCAAUGCCGGUAUUUUGAAUGUAGUGGAAAGUCGGCUAAAGUUUGGUCAGGUUUUAGAGCAAGUUAUGUUUGUUUGAAAACCAAAAAGGUGUUGUUUUUUCCCCUGGUGCCCUAGAUAUGUUUGGCCCUGGUUGAAGGAUACAAUUUAAAGGUUUAUUUGUUGAAUUAUGUGGAAUCGAUACUGCUGGGAAUGCAAUCGCCGAGUUCAUUUGGGGACGCCCAACAGAAAAUGGCGGUGUACGCUGCUUUAGUGUUUAUUUAGACUACUUUUGGUUAUGGCGACCGAAGGGCCUGAAAACCGGACCAAAUGGAGGAAGAAAGCAGGCGACGGGAUCAGAGUUGAUGGUUCCCUCCCCUUCUCCUUUUUUCCUCAUUUAUUUGCUCCCCCUCUUCAUUACUGUUUUCCGUUUUUCCCCCUCUCCUCUCCCCUCCCUCCCCUUAGCCAUCAUUCCUCCCCCAUUUCUUUCCCAUUCAUCCCAUUCUCCCCAUCCCCUUCCCUCCCUUCCUCUUGUACUGCAGUCCAGUGUUCUAGAAGGGUGAGUCAGGAGAUGGGCGGAGCUCAGAGGACCAGGGGGGGAGGAGUCUGCCGACCCGGUCAUGUCAUAAGGGGGGCGGGGCUGCGUGUGUCUGCUGCUCUCACAUCCUGGUGGCGUCUUCGUCUGAGAACCUUCCCCUCCGUAUUAAGAGCGGGGGUCUGGAGAGAGAUGGAGAAGAACUUCAAGAAAGGAGAGGGACACGGAGAGAUGGAUGGAGAGACGGAUUGUGAGGCGGAUGGAGAGGGGGACACACAUCAUACAAAAUCAAAGGUUUGGGCCAAUGGGGUGAUGGGGCAACCAGCACGUUGCCAUGGUAACUUUGCAUGUUAGUGCCGUACCUAAUCCAGUACAUUCCAGGGUGUUGGUAGUAGUCCAAAGAGCCCGAUCUCUGGAUGGCAAAGUCAUGUUCCAGCUGAGCAGAGAGAGAGAGAUGAAGGAGACUUUAAAACCAUGACAUUCACUGCUGAACAUGCUGAAAUGUUUGAUUGUUUCUGCUCCUCCUCAAACUAAAAAAAAUGUUGAGUGCACAUGUUUUAUGAAUGGUUCAACUCAAUUCCUUUGACGUACACACCUGUGUUAGCCCUAAGGCCUGAUAUAAGAUAUUUGUCUAUUUAUAACACCACAUCAUUUGGACAGCUCUGACUGAUACUGUGUGAAAUACGUAAGAACUUGUGACUUGGAAAGGAAUAUAAAAUCGUCAACAACUGAAUUCGUAUCCUGCUCUCACUUUCAGAGUCACAGUGAGAUUUUUAGAUCACAAAAGAUCGGACAUCGUUAAGUCUGAGAGGGUGCUAGAUUUAUCGGCAGCUUGCAAAACGGUUUUGAUCUGAGUGGGUUUUUGAUCUUGGUGGGUUUUUAUAAUUUUAUUUAUCUGUGUGGGUUUGUGGAUCACACAUAAUAGGUCUACCGUUUCCAGCUCGGUAAGUACUGCACCACGCUUAUCUCCUGGGCAAGAAAGAAAAUAAAACCUGUCCAGUUAUCUUUAAAAAAAAAAAAAAA